rnacentral:tRNA from 1 species
AGGGGAUUUGGAUUAAGGUUAGCUGCUAACUAAACCUUAAAGCGGUUAAACUCCGUUUAUCCCUUA